AUCUUUACAUGUGCAUGCUGACACGUCAAGGUGAACUGCGGCACUUGCAACUUGACGUCUGCGGUGAAAUUCAUUUCCUACCUGGCUGGUGGAGAUGGCUUCCAACAAGUUGCUUUUUGUAUCCCUGCUAACCAGUCCUAUUCGCUAUUUCAGAAUGUUACAACUACAAAAGGAAGGCUGACCCCUACAACACCUGCAAGUAUGUCGAAGAUGGAUGCUCAUACAGCUGUCCGCGGGGUAAAGUCUUCAGCGAGAAGGACCAGUGCUGUGUAGCACCUCGCAAGUCUUGUCGAUCUGCUCCUUCAUGUAAGAAAGACUACGACUAUGACACCUGCGACAGGCACUCCAACAGGAACAAUGGGAAAUAUCAGAAAAAGAAGUCAAGCUGUGAUGACGAUUAUGAUUAUGACAGCUGUGACAGGAAAUCUUACAAGAACAACGGGAAAUAUCAGAAAUCAAGGAAGUCCAAUCCCAAGAAGUACAAGAAUUCCAAAGGAAAAUACGACUCUGAUUACCAUUGGUAACCUUGUUCCUACAUAUAGCCUUUCGUUGCUUUAAAUAAAGGCGGCAGGAA